UACGUAGGUGGCAAGCGUUGUCCGGAUUUAUUGGGUUUAAAGGGUGCGUAGGCGGCCCUAUAAGUCAGUGCUGAAAUAUCCCGGCUUAACCGGGAGGGUGGCAUUGAUACUGUAGGGCUUGAGUGAAGUCGAGGUAGGCGGAAUUGACGGUGUAGCGGUGAAAUGCUUAGAUAUCAGGAGGAACACCAGUGGCGAAGGCGCCGCUCUGGGCCGUAACUGACGCUGAGAAGCGAAAGCGUGGGGAGCAAACAGG
rnacentral:rRNA from 1 species